rnacentral:tRNA from 1 species
GGGAAUGUGGCUCUGUGGUAGAGUGCUUGCCUGCCAUGCGUGAAGCCCUGGGUUUGAUUCCCCAGUACCA